rnacentral:rRNA from 1 species
UACGUAGGGUGCGAGCGUUGUCCGGAAUUAUUGGGCGUAAAGAGCUCGUAGGCGGUCUGUCGCGUCGGUCGUGAAAACUUGGGGCUUAACCCUGAGCUUGCGGUCGAUACGGGCAUGACUGGAGUUCGGCAGGGGAGACUGGAAUUCCUGGUGUAGCGGUGAAAUGCGCAGAUAUCAGGAGGAACACCAAUGGCGAAGGCAGCUCGCUGGAACGGUACUGACGCUGAGGCGCGAAAGCGUGGGGAGCGAACAGG